rnacentral:rRNA from 1 species
AGCAUGUGGUUUAAUUCGAAGCAACGACGAAGAACCUUACCAGGUCUUGACAUCCCGAUGCUAUUCUAGAGAUAGAAAGUUACUUCGGUACAUCGGUGACAGGUGGUGCAUGGUUGUCGUCAGCUCGUGUCGUGAGAUGUUGGGUUAAGUCCCGCAACGAGCGCAACCCCUAUUGUUAGUUGCCAGCAUUCAGUUGGGCACUCUAAGGUGACUGCCGGCUAAAAGUCGGAGGAAGGUGGGAUGACGUCAAAUCAUCAUGGCCCUUAUGCCUGGGGCGACACACGUGCUACAAUGGAUAGGACAGAAAGACGCAAGACCGCGAGGUGGAGCAAAUCUUUAAACCUAUUCUCAGUUCGGAUUGGAGUCUGCAACUCGACUCCAUGAAGCUGGAAUCGCUAGUAAUCGCGGAUCAGCCAUGCCGCGGUGAAUACGUUCCCGGGUCUU